rnacentral:lncRNA from 1 species
AACUUUUGAGGAUUCUAGAAGCCUACAAAGGGUUAAUUGUGCCCAAAUAUUAACUGUCUGGCUUAACUGCACAGGGUUGAAGAAUUGAUUUUCCAGACUCAUUCCUUGAAAAAAGAAAGGCAAGGAGGAAGAGCUGAAGGAGAAGAGGAAGAUUAUCACCUCUGCAACUGUUAAUAUGUAUAGCUGCAGAAUAUGACAAUUCUGUUACCAAACGGGCAAUAGGAGAACUUUCUAACUGAUGGACAACACAGAGGAAAGCACAAGCACAGACUAUGUCUUGGAGCAUGAAGAGCUGAGCAAGAGGAACAGCAUCUGAAUCACCCACAUCUGAUUUCACCCCAUUUUAUGAUGUAGCCCAAAUGUUGUCCAAAUUUGUCUACUUGUUGUGUUUCUUUCCAUUUUAUGAUGUAGCCUAAAUGCUAUCCAAAUUUUCCUGUUCAUUCAAUCACUUCAGGCACUGAAGUAUCAACAUGUUCCAUAAUGAUGAGAGCAUUAUUUGG